rnacentral:rRNA from 1 species
GAUGAACGCUGACAGAAUGCUUAACACAUGCAAGUCUACUUGAACUUCGGUUUGGGUGGCGGACGGGUGAGUAACGCGUAAAGAACUUGCCUCACAGAUAGGGACAACAUUUGGAAACGAAUGCUAAUACCUGAUAUUAUGAUUUUAGGGCAUCCUAGAAUUAUGAAAGCUAUAUGCACUGUGAGAGAGCUUUGCGUCCCAUUAGCUAGUUGGAGAGGUAACGGCUCACCAAGGCGAUGAUGGGUAGCCGGCCUGAGAGGGUGAUCGGCCACAAGGGGACGGAGACACGCCCCUUACCCCGAGGGGAGGCAGCAGUGGGAAAUAUUGGACAAUGACCAAAGAGUCGUACCAAGAAAUUCUGUGUGCAGGAUAAAUUUUUUCGGAAUUAAAAGUGUUUUCAGUUGGAAAAAAAAAAAUGACGGUACAAAAAAAAGAAGAGACGGCUAAAUCCGUC